rnacentral:rRNA from 1 species
GGGGGCAACCCUGAUCCAGCGACGCCGCGUGUGUGAAGAAGGCCUGCGGGUUGUAAAGCACUUUUAGUGGGGAUGAAAAGCACAUUGCUAAUACCAGUGUGUCUUGACCUAACCCAAAGAAAAAGCACCGGCUAACUCUGUGCCAGCAGCCGCGGUAAUACAGAGGGUGCGAGCGUUAAUCGGAAUUACUGGGCGUAAAGCGUGCGUAGACGGUUAUUUAAGUCGGAUGUGAAAGCCCCGGGCUCAACCUGGGAAUUGCAUUCGAGACUGAAUAGCUAGGGUGCGGUAGAGGGAAGCGGAAUUUCCGGUGUAGCGGUGAAAUGCGUAGAUAUCGGAAGGAACAUCAGUGGCGAAAGCGGCUUCCUGGACCAGCACCGACGUUCAGGCACGAAAGCGUGGGGAGCAAACAGGAUUAGAUACCCUGGUAGUCCACGCCAUAAACGAUGAGGACUAGACGUUGGAGGGGUAAGCCUUUCAGUGUCGUAGCUAACGCGCUAAGUCCUCCGCCUGGGGAGUACGG